rnacentral:rRNA from 1 species
CCCCCGCACGCCGGAAGACCAAGGGUUCCUGUCCAACGUUAAUCGGGGCAGGGUGAGUCGACCCCUAAGGCGAGGCUGAAAAGCGUAGUCGAUGGGAAACAGGUUAAUAUUCCUGUACUCGGUGUUACUGCGAAGGGGGGACGGAGAAAGCUAGGUUAUCCGGGCGACGGUUGUCCCGGUUUAAGCGUGAAGGUGGGUGACUUUGGUAAAUCCGGGUCAUCAUUAACACUGAGGCGUGAUGACGAGUCACUACGGUGAUGAAGUAACCGAUGCUACGCUUCCAGGAAAAGCCUCUAAGCUCCAGGUAACAUCAAAUCGUACCCCAAACCGACACAGGUGGUCAGGUAGAGAAUACUCAGGCGCUUGAGAGAACUCGGGUGAAGGAACUAGGCAAAAUGGUGCCGUAACUUCGGGAGAAGGCACGCUGAUGGUAGGUGAAGUGACUUGCUCAUGGAGCUGAAAUCAGUCGAAGAUACCAGCUGGCUGCAACUGUUUAAUAAAAACACAGCACUGUGCAAACACGAAAGUGGACGUAUACGGUGUGACGCCUGCCCGGUGCCGGAAGGUUAAUUGAUGGGGUCAGCCGCAAGGCGAAGCUCUUGAUCGAAGCCCCGGUAAACGGCGGCCGUAACUAUAACGGUCCUAAGGUAGCGAAAUUCCUUGUCGGGUAAGUUCCGACCUGCACGAAUGGCGUAAUGAUGGCCAGGCUGUCUCCACCCGAGACUCAGUGAAAUUGAACUCGCUGUGAAGAUGCAGUGUACCCGCGGCAAGACGGAAAGACCCCGUGAACCUUUACUAUAGCUUGACACUGAACCUUGAGCCUUGAUGUGUAGGAUAGGUGGGAGGCUUUGAAGCGUGGACGCCAGUCUGCGUGGAGCCAACCUUGAAAUACCACCCUUUAAUGUUUGAUGUUCUAACGUGGACCCGUAAUCCGGGUUGCGGACAGUGUCUGGUGGGUAGUUUGACUGGGGCGGUCUCCUCCCAAAGCGUAACGGAGGAGCACGAAGGUUAGCUAAUCCUGGUCGGACAUCAGGAGGUUAGUGCAAAGGCAUAAGCUAGCUUGACUGCGAGAGUGACAGCUCGAGCAGGUGCGAAAGCAGGUCUUAGUGAUCCGGUGGUUCUGAAUGGAAGGGCCAUCGCUCAACGGAUAAAAGGUACUCCGGGGAUAACAGGCUGAUACCGCCCAAGAGUUCAUAUCGACGGCGGUGUUUGGCACCUCGAUGUCGGCUCAUCACAUCCUGGGGCUGAAGUAGGUCCCAAGGGUAUGGCUGUUCGCCAUUUAAAGUGGUACGCGAGCUGGGUUUAGAACGUCGUGAGACAGUUCGGUCCCUAUCUGCCGUGGGCGUUGGAAGAUUGAGAGGGGUUGCUCCUAGUACGAGAGGACCGGAGUGAACGCACCACUGGUGUACGGGUUGUGAUGCCAAUUGCAUUGCCCGGUAGCUAAGUGCGGAAGAGAUAACCGCUGAAAGCAUCUAAGCGGGAAACUUGCCUCGAGAUGAGUCUUCCCUGGACACUUGAUGUCCCUGAAGGGCCGUUGAAGACGACGACGUAGAUAGGCUGGGUGUGUAAGCGUAGCGAUACGUUGAGCUAACCAGUACUAAUGACCCGAGAGGCUUAACCUU